rnacentral:rRNA from 1 species
CCUACGGGAGGCAGCAGUAGGGAAUAUUGGACAAUGAGCGCAAGCUUGAUCCAGCCAUACCGCGUGUGUGAAGAAGGCCUUCGGGUUGUAAAGCACUUUAAGCAGGGAGAAAAAGUUAUAGGUUAAUACCCUAUGACCGUGAUGUUACCUGCAGAAUAAGCACCGGCUAAUUCCGUGCCAGCAGCCGCGGUAAUACGGAAGGUGCAAGCGUUAAUCGGAAUUACUGGGCGUAAAGCGCGCGUAGGUGGUUUGUUAAGUUGGAUGUGAAAGCCCUGGGCUCAACCUAGGAACUGCAUCCAAAACUAACUCACUAGAGUACGAUAGAGGGAGGUAGAAUUCAUAGUGUAGCGGUGGAAUGCGUAGAUAUUAUGAAGAAUACCAGUGGCGAAGGCGGCCUCCUGGAUCUGUACUGACACUGAGGUGCGAAAGCGUGGGUAGCGAACAGGAUUAGAUACCCUGGUAGUCCACGCCGUAAACGAUGACAACUAGCUGUUGGGAGACAAUGUCUUUCAGUGGCGCAGCUAACGUUUUAAGUUGUCCGCCUGGGGAGUACGGCUGCAAGGCUAAAACUCAAAUGAAUUGACGG